rnacentral:lncRNA from 1 species
GAGGCCUGUGGUACCUGAAUGAAUAAGAAGCUGGCUGUGAGGCACUCUUGGGCAAGACUUUUUCUUUCUGCCAAGUGGGUGUAAAACAGAGAAACAAAAAGCUAGCUAGGCAGUUCUUGGGAGAGGAACAGAUCAAUAAAUAUCUUUUCUAUUGUUAAAUGCUUCCUUUUUCAACCUUUAUCUCUCUUCAUGUGCUAUAGGCUUCUUGAUUUAUAUUGAAAAGAAUGAGCAUAGCUUCCUUCCUGUCACAAUUACCACUGACUGGUCUGGGCCUCCGCCAAAAAGGACUAGCAGAGAUGAAUCUGGUCGGGGCCACUGGCUCAGAAGAAAGAAGCAUAAGAAUACCUGAGACCGAUAUAGGCAGUAUUGUCUCCUCUUCACCUUCAAUCUGGGAACUUCACACUGAAGUGCUACAGAAAAGGUCAUCUACAGUAUUAUCCUACUGGGUUUACCUGUGAGGCUUGAGGGUCUUCUCCACAUCAGGAUCGGGCCCUUCUUCACUUGGGCCCACUUCUUCAAAUAGCCUUAAUGCUGACUAAAGAUUUCUCCGGGAAUGUGUGUGAACAUAAGAGAGAAAACUGCAAGAUACAUGGCACAUAUGGGCACAUGGAAUCGUGCGUGUGGUCUUCAGACCCAAAUGUUUCCUAAGUGACUACUGCUUAUUUUCUCUCCACACGCUUCACACACAAACACCCCUUUUGAGUAAAUUUGUUAAGUACAGUACUGCAGGNNNNNNNNNNNNNNNNNNNNNNAGGAAUGCGAGUUUUUCAUUUACUUGUGUCAAAUUAAAUAGGGGCUAAUUCCACCUGGAUUCCAAAACUUUCAAACAAUACUGAGCAGCCAGACCAAUGACCUGGCUUUCAGAGGAGGACUUGGCAAGCGAGGAGCUCCUCCUCUGUAUCUCUGCCCCGCCUUCUCCCUGAAGCUGGGGACUCAGUGUGGUAGGGAGGAAGCCCCUUUUGAAAAGAUAGUUCAAUAAUUAUGUUGCAGUCCUUAGUCAUUGACUCAGCUUAGGAAGCAGACACUGUUAUGUUCAUGCUGGAAGCCUCUAAGUGAUGCUUACACAGGCUACUCAUUUUGUUCCUGAUGAUAAAAGGAACUCAAAUUUAACUCAGAAAACUUGGAUAAUACGAAAGGGUGCAAAAACAAACUCAUAAUCUUACUACCAGAAUAGUUUAUAUUAAUAGUGUUUUGAUAUGAUUUAUCAGUUAAAAUGUAUAUGGCCUAUUGUUGUCAUAUAGGUAGGUUUUCAAGCUAGGAAUAUACUUUCUUUAAUAGGUGCUAUUCAAAUUUUAUAUUUCUUCCAGAGUCAGUUUCGUUAAUUUGUCUUCCUUUUUCUUCUAUGAAAUUGUCAAGUUUAUUUCAAAAAAGAUUUUUGUAAUAUGCUUUCUAUAGCCUUUCAAAUUCUGUAAGAUCUGUGGUAAUGUCCUCUAAAUCUUGAUAUUGUAAUGUUUUGAUGAAUAUUCUUCUAGUCCUUUUAAAAGCGGGUGUACAGUGUAUGUGGAAAGGGGGUGAGAUGGGAAGAGGGUUAGAAGGAAGGCAGGCAUACUUAUCAGAAUGCUUUGUAGCUUCUUCCUUUCAUCUUUUAGCUUAUUGUGCACAUUUUCCCAUGACAAUAAAUACUCCGUAACAGUGCUUCUCAACCAGGGACAAUAUUCAUACCCAGGGGACAUUUGGUAACAUCUGAAAUGUUUUUGUUACUGGUGUCAACUAGAUAGAAGCUAGGGAUAUUGCUAAAUAUCCUACAGUUCAAGAGCAGUCCCCGUAACAAAGACUGAUAUAGCCCAAAAUGUCAAUAAUGCUGAAGCUGAGACCCUCCCUCUGUAAUAUUAUUUUAAAUAGCUACGUAUUACUUUAUCCUAGGGUGGAGUUCUCCACUGUUGGAAAUUUAGAUUGUUUCCAGUUUUUUUUUUUCCUCUAACAAACAAUGCAUUGAAUAUUCUUGUCACACAUUUUUGUACAAACUUCUUCUUGGGUAAAAAGUGAAGUGAUAUAACCAGAAUUUACAUAUAAACAUUUAUCAGGCGCAGAUCUACACCAUCAGAAUAAAGACAAUGAUAUAAAUCAAGUGCUUAACUUAGAGCCUUACAUAUGAUAAGUUCUCAGUACAUUUUAGCUGUCAUUAGCUUAGACAUUGAAUAACCAAGUCCCUCAACUUGGCAAACUUCUCUCUCUGUUAGUAUUAGCAGCAAGUCCAGAGUAGGUGUCUUUGUGUUUUGUUCUUAGUCAUUGAUUAUCCUUUUAGGCAUGAUAGCUCGCUUUGGUCAGAGGUUGGAUUGUGAACCUCAGACUCAGGUCCCCAAUCCAAUAUGUGCAGCUGAGCUUGAAAAAUGUUGAUAAUAAAACAACUUUUUUGAGAAAAGGCAUUCUCUUGUGGCAGCAUAUUAUACAUCUUUUUCCAAGACAAUGGAUAUAUGUAUGAUUUUCUAUUUCAAAUUUGUUAUUUUUAUUAUUCUUCAAAUUAUUAAUUUGUAUUAUAGUUUGAUUCCUUUUCUUUGUAGAUGCCAAUAAUGUUUUAUUUAUUUGGCCAAAUAAUAGUUUGCAUUCAAAAUAUGUCAGGACCCAUUUUAAAUGCACUGCAUAUAUGGAAUCAUUUAUUGAUCAAAAUAACCUAAUAAAGUAGUGAUCUGAUCCUUUUAUGUUUCUCUUCAUCAGGAUCCAACCACAGAUUUAUAAUAUUGACCAAAAAUCAUUUUGAUGGGUGAAUUCAUUUGAUGAGCCAAAAUUCUUUUUGGUUAAACUUUUUACAUGAAAUCUUCAC